GAAGAACCUUACCUGGUCUUGACAUCCACAGAACUUGCCAGAGAUGGCUUGGUGCCUUCGGGAACUGUGAGACAGGUGCUGCAUGGCUGUCGUCAGCUCGUGUUGUGAAAUGUUGGGUUAAGUCCCGCAACGAGCGCAACCCUUAUCCUUUGUUGCCAGCGGUUAGGCCGGGAACUCAAAGGAGACUGCCAGUGAUAAACUGGAGGAAGGUGGGGAUGACGUCAAGUCAUCAUGGCCCUUACGACCAGGGCUACACACGUGCUACAAUGGCGCAUACAAAGAGAAGCGACCUCGCGAGAGCAAGCGGACCUCAUAAAGUAUGUCGUAGUCCGGAUUGGAGUCUGCAACUCGACUCCAUGAAGUCGGAAUCGCUAGUAAUCGUAGAUCAGAAUGCUACGGUGAAUACGUUCCCGGGCCUUGUACACACCGCCCGUCACACCAUGGGAGUGGGUUGCAAAAGAAGUAGGUAGCUUAACCUUCGGGAGGGCGCUUACCACUUUGUGAUUCAUGACUGGGGUGAAGUCGUAACAAGGUAACCGUAGGGGAACCUGCGGUUGGAUCACCUCCUUACCUUAAAGAA
rnacentral:rRNA from 1 species